rnacentral:rRNA from 1 species
UACGUAGGUGGCGAGCGUUAUCCGGAUUUACUGGGUGUAAAGGGCGCGUAGGCGGGAAUGCAAGUCAGGUGUGAAAUCUAGGGGCUCAACCCCUAAACUGCACUUGAAACUGCGUUUCUUGAGUGUCGGAGAGGUUGACGGAAUUCCUAGUGUAGCGGUGAAAUGCGUAGAUAUUAGGAGGAACACCAGUGGCGAAGGCGGUCAACUGGACGAUAACUGACGCUGAGGCGCGAAAGCGUGGGGAG